GUAGGGAGCAAGCGUUAUCCGGAUUUACUGGGUGUAAAGGGCGCGCAGGCGGGAAGACAAGUUGGGAGUGAAAUCCGGGGGCUCAACCCCCGAACUGCUUUCAAAACUGUUUUUCUUGAGUGAUGGAGAGGCAGGCGGAAUUCCCAGUGUAGCGGUGAAAUGCGUAGAUAUUGGGAGGAACACCAGUGGCGAAGGCGGCCUGCUGGACAUUAACUGACGCUGAGGCGCGAAAGCGUGGGGAGCAAACAGGAUUAGAUACCCUGGUAGUCCACGCCGUAAACGAUGGAUACUAGGUGUGGGAGGUAUUGACCCCUUCCGUGCCGGCGUUAACACAAUAAGUAUCCCACCUGGGGAGUACGAUCGCAAGGUUG
rnacentral:rRNA from 1 species